rnacentral:rRNA from 1 species
UACGUAGGGGGCGAGCGUUGUUCGGAAUUACUGGGCGUAAAGGGUGUGUAGGCGGUUAGAUAAGAUAGCGGUGAAAUCCCGGGGCUCAACCUCGGAAUUGCCAUUAUUACUAUAUAACUAGAAUGACAGAGAGGAUAUUGGAAUACCCAGUGUAGAGGUGAAAUUCGUAGAUAUUGGGUAGAACACCGGUGGCGAAGGCGAGUACCUGGCUGUAAAUUGACGCUGAGGCACGAAAGCAUGGGGAUCAAAC